UACGUAGGGGGCAAGCGUUGUCCGGAAUCAUUGGGCGUAAAGCGCGUGUAGGCGGCCCGGUAAGUCCGCUGUGAAAGUCCAGGGCUCAACCCUGGGAUGCCGGUGGAUACUGUCGGGCUCGAGUCCGGAAGAGGAGUGUGGAAUUCCUGGUGUAGCGGUGAAAUGCGCAGAUAUCAGGAGGAACACCAAUGGCGAAGGCAGCUCGCUGGGACGUUACUGACGCUGAGACGCGAAAGCUAGGGGAGCGAACAGG
rnacentral:rRNA from 1 species